AUGAUUGUAGCUAACACCCUCUUUAGAAAGAGAGAAUCACAUCUGGUGACUUUUAGUAGUGGCCAACACUCUAGCCAGAUUGAUUUCAUCCUCUCGAGAAGAGAAGAUAGGCAUGCGUGCCUAGACUGUAAGGUGAUACCUGGGGAGAGUGUUGUACCCCAGCAUAAGCUGGUGGUUGCUGACUUCCGCUUUCGGAUUCGUGUCCAGCGGGAUAAGCGUGCCAAGGUCGCUAGAACGAAGUGGUGGAAGCUCAAGGGGGAGGUAGCUCAGGUGUUCAAGGAGAGGGUAUUUAAGGAGGGCCCUUGGGAGGAAGGAGGGGAUGCAGACAAUGUGUGGAUGAAGAUGGCGACUUGCAUUCGUAAGGUGGCCUCGGAGGAGUUUGGAGUGUCCAGGGGAAGGAGAAGCGAAGAUAAGGAUACCUGGUGGCGGAAUGAUGAUGUCCAGAAGGCGCUUAAAGAUAAGAAAGAUUGCUUCAGACGCCUAUACCUGGAUAGGAGUGCAGACAACAUAGAGAAGUACAAGAUGGCGAAGAAGGCCGCAAAGCGAGCUGUUGGUGAAGCAAGGGGUCGGGCAUAUGAGGACCUCUACCAACGGUUAGGCACGAAGGAAGGUGAAAGGGACAUCUAUAAGAUGGCUAAGAUCCGGGAGAGGAAGACGAGGGAUAUUGGCCAAGUCAAAUGCAUCAAGGACGGAGCAGGCCAACUCUUGGUGAAGGACGAAGAGAUUAAGCAUAGAUGGCGGGAGUACUUCGACAAGCUGUUCAAUGGGGAGAAUGAGAGUUCUACCAUUGAACUGAAUGACUCCUUUGAUGAGACCAGCAUGCGUUUUGUGCGACGCAUCCAGGAGUCUGAGGUGAAGGAGGCUUUAAAAAGGAUGAAAGGAGGCAAGGCGAUGGGCCCUGAUUGUAUCCCCAUUGAGGUGUGGAAAGGUCUCGGGGACAUAGCGAUAGUAUGGCUAACCAAGCUUUUCAACCUCAUUUUUCGGGCAAACAAGAUGCCAGAAGAAUGGAGACGGAGUAUAUUAGUACCAAUCUUCAAGAACAAGGGAGAUGUUCAGAGUUGUACUAAUUACUGUGGAAUUAAGCUGAUGAGCCAUACAAUGAAGCUAUGGGAGAGAGUCAUUGAGCACCGCUUAAGAAGAAUGACAAGCGUGACCAAAAAUCAGUUUGGUUUCAUGCCUGGGAGGUCGACCAUGGAAGCCAUUUUCUUGGUAUGA
rnacentral:rRNA from 1 species